CCUACGGGCGGCAGCAGUGAGGAAUAUUGGUCAAUGGACGAAAGUCUGAACCAGCCAUGCCGCGUGCAGGAAGACGGCUCUAUGAGUUGUAAACUGCUUUUGUACGAGGGUAAACGCAGAUACGCGUAUCUGUCUGAAAGUAGCGUACGAAUAAGGAUCGGCUAACUCCGUGCCAGAAGCCGCGGUAAUACGGAGGAUUCAAGCUUUAGCCGGAUUUAUUGGGUUUAAGGGUUGCGUGGGCGGUCGGAUAAGUAAGAGGUGAAAUCCCGAGGCUCAACUUCGGAAUUGCCUCUGAUACUGUUCGGCUAUAGAGUAGUUGCGGUAGGCGGAAUGUAUGGUGUAGCGGUGAAAUGCUGAGAGAUCAUACAGAACACCGAUUGCGAAGGCAGCUUACCAAGCUACUUCUGACGUUGAGGCACGAAAGCGUGGGGAGCAAACAGGAUUAGAUACCCCAGGAGUC
rnacentral:rRNA from 1 species